GAUGAAGAACGCAGCGAAAUGCGAUACUUGGUGUGAAUUGCAGAAUCCCGUGAACCAUCGAGUCUUUGAACGCAAGUUGCGCCUCAAGCCAUUAGGUUGAGGGCACGUCUGCCUGGGCGUCACAUAUCGUUGCCUGAUGCCAGUUUCCUCGUGAUGGGUGACUGUGCAGGGCGAAUGAUGGCUUCCCGUGAGCAUUGUUGCCUCAUGGCUGGUUGAAAAUUGAGUCCUUGGUAGGGAGCGCCGUGAUAGAUGGUGGUUGAGUGACGAACGAGACCCAAUCAUGUGAGACCCCUACCGAAUUUGGCCUUCAUGACCCACAUGCGUCUUUGGAACGCUCAUGACGAGACCUCAGGUCAGGCGGGGCUACCCGCUGAGUUUAAGCAUAUCAAUAAGCGGAGGA
rnacentral:misc_RNA from 1 species